CCUGCUUUAAAUGGUAACUGUGUUGCAUCUAAAUCUGUCCCUCUUGAAACAGCAGAAAGAGCUUUAAUGAUGAUAGCCACUGAGAAGCUCUGCUCAAAGGAGGAAUUAAAACAAUUGAGAGUAGCACGGUGGAGCCACAGUAUUCGAUAACAAAGCUGCCCCCUCUUCAGGACUCAUUUGAAGGCAGCAGAUAAGGCUCCUCUGAAGUUUCCAUCCCAUGCGGGCAGCCUGUUGGAUCCUGGCUGCAAGGGGCCUCUGUUAACAAGAGGAACAAACUUCAACUUCAUCUCCCACAGGGGCUCAAAGGAAGUCUGCACAUCAAACACGCACUUUCAUUUGGAUGAGGAGAUGCAGAGACGAGGAAGAAAAGAAGCCACUGAAGUCAUCCUCCUUCCUGCCUCACAGUCUGCUACAGAGACUCCCAUGAUACUGUGCGCCGACAGCACCUUAAUCCAAACUACAAGAGAAGUUUGGGAAGUCUGGGAAGAAAUCUCCUCGCCAUUGUCGAAGUUUUCUCCCUCAGACACAUGCAUGCACUUAAAUGCCUCCUCUCAGAUUCCACGGUGAGACUCGCACACAAAAUAAUUUCACAAAGUUUCUGAGGAAGUUUCUUAGCCACAUGGGCAAAUCCAGCCAAGAGCUUUUUGGCAGGUACAGCCCACCGCUCUUCUUAAUCUGCUUGAUUUCAGACUCUCCCAGCUGAGGUCCAACACGCCUUUGAUUUGACAGGAGAGAAGAAGGGAAGCGGCAGGUGAACUGGAGGCGUCCAGUGAAGAGGAGGGGAAGAUGAAUAAACAGAAGAGGAGCAGCCAGCUCAUCUCAGAGGAGGACAUGUGGACGAGGAGGAGCCCUGCCAGAAACAAAAAGCCUCAUCGCUGACACACAAGCCGAGACCCCCCCCGUCACUGUUUACCACAAUGUGCUGCACUCAAGAACCCCAAGGUGACUGAAACAUCUGUCAGGAUGACUGAAUGUCGAUUGAACAGUACAGCAGAGAGAGAGAGAGGAAGAGGAGGCGGGGAGGAUGCAGAUCCUUUGAGGAGUGAUGUGCUCAGAGACAGCCGGAAUCUCAUCUAGAUAUCAUGAGUAUCAUUCAACAGCAAGCCUCUCUGUUUUGCUGCACCUUGAAGAAGAAGAAGAAGAAGAUGAAGAAGAAGAGGGUGGAAGUUGGACUCUGCUGUCUGCUGCAUGUGUAAAGAGUCUCUGCUCCUGAUCUGUCCUAUCCAGUGAAGACUCCCUCUGUAGGAGCCAACAGAAGUGCAUCGAAGAGCCUUCUUCAUACUGAUUACAACAGGUGGCUGCAGAUCCAUUCAGCCAUCAUACCAGACAUCCUGCACAAGAAACUCACCCAGCUCACAGUCCUGACUUCCAUCUGUCAGUGGAUCACCAACUUCCUGAC